AAAAGAGUCAACUCAUUUUUAUAGAGCCAAGAAAGCCGACGAUAUGAUGGGAGAGGAAGAUGAUGCUGAGCCCCCUCAUUUAUACAAAGCCUCGGCCAAAUAUGAAGCCGUAAAAAAAUAAUUCAGAAAAACAGAUCCAUUAGACGCCAUUUCGGACCUUAAAAGAAGUCCAGAGAGUGAAGGGGCGAUUCGUGAUAUUGGAAAGGAUCCAAUCAAAGUUCACAUCUGGUCUCCUCAUCAAAUUCGCGAUUACAACAAAUUAAGAAAAAUGGGUAGACUGUGCAUAGAUGACUCUGGAGGCAGAUUUGCGGAGUACGUCCAUGUAGAUGGGCAGAAAUCGCAUCACGUAUUUCUGCACAUUGCUGUAAUCCAUGGCUCAUUUGGGCAGUUUGUUGUAUCCUCGAUGAUAACAGAGAAACAAGACACAGUCACAAUACUAUCAUUGCUUUUAAGGUGGAUUUAAUCAGGUGCGCCGUAUCCAAAGGAAGUGGUAUGCGACUCGUCAAGAGCUUUACUUUCAGCUUGCUGUCUGGCAUUUGCAACGUUCGACACUGUAGAAGCAUGCAUUACGAACAAUUUACCCAGGACCCACAUUCGAAUUGGCGUGGCACAUUAUAUGAAAAACUUGGCCGAUUUUUUAAAAAAUGAUAAAAAGCUGUUGAACGCUUUUAUUUGUUUGGAAUCGGCCAGUUUAUUCUGUGCAGCAAUCAAAAAGAAGCUGGAACUAUAAUAAAAGCUUUGCUUAUAAUUGCAAUGUCAAAAAAGGGAGGGGAAGGAGCAAACUCUUAAAGAAGCAGUUAAAUUCAUCGAAAGCUGUGCGAACCAUCCAACCCACCUUUGUCGACGCCACUGAAUUUACGCAGAAGGAUGGUUCAGCUUCAGGCUCAUAUCCAAGUGCUUUGGCGGAUGAAAUCCAUGAAGAAACGAACGGAUACCUGUCUCAGUGGGCUUCGUCUCUAAAGGAAGAAGUCGAAAACAUUUUACAAAAUGAUGAAGGAGAUGACCUUAACCCUCGGGAAUGCUAAACAUUUUCCAAACGCCUGCUAAGACACAUAAGAACUAUUCCUAUGUGGUCAGCAAUUGUUCAAAGCCGUUUUGGGUAUGGUAGAAUACCAGCCAGCAGUGCGCCUGUAGAAAUAGAAUUUAAAUCAAUUAAAAAUGAAGUUCUAAAAAAUAGGUGCAGGGUGGACUUCGGUGUGGAAAAGCUGAUUAAGAACUUUAACGGAAAUACAAAGAUGAUCGAUUGUUCCCUAAAAGAAACCAAAUCACUUGAUCUGGAACUCAGUUUUGAAAAUAUUAUCGAUGAUCAAAAUCAGAUCAUUGAAGGUUCAGAUAGGAAUAGCACCGAUGAAGAAA